AGCGAACGUUUGCGGCGGGCCUAACACAUGCAAGUCGAACGGGUUGGCAACAACCAGUGGCGCACGGGUGCGUAACACGUAGGUAAUCUACCCUCAAGUUCGGGAUAACGAUCUGAAAGGAUCGCUAAUACCGGAUGUGUUCCGAAAGGAAGAAAGACCCGCAAGGGUCGCUAGAGGACGAGCCUGCGGCCCAUCAGCUAGUUGGUGAGGUAAUGGCUCACCAAGGCUAAGACGGGUAGCUGGUCUGAGAGGAUGAUCAGUCACACUGGAACUGAGACACGGUCCAGACUCCUACGGGAGGCAGCAGUGGGGAAUAUUGCGCAAUGGGCGGAAAGACCUGACGCAGCCACGCCGCGUGAGCGAUGAAGG
rnacentral:rRNA from 1 species